ensembl:lncRNA
UGCUCUAUCACCUGCAUAGACAGGGCCGGAUGUGGAGAAGGAAUCUUACAGUUCAUAAACAAGAUCAUAAAAGAACAACUUGCUUUGUUACCACUUCUACUGAGGCUGUGAAACACGAGUUACUGCAAAUACUACACUGCAGCUUGUGUCCAUGAGGCUCAGGAGAAUGAGAUGCUGUGCUGCAAACAACUCAGAAGCAGGAAAGGAGAAGAAGGAGGGGAGAAAAUGAGCUGCCUCAGUAAUAUACCUCCUCUGACAAAGCUGAAAGUGCCUGGCUAUUUCUCAGCAAAUGAAAAAAAGUCUAAAGGAAUGAGGACUUGUGUGGCCUCCCCCAACCAAAAAAAUAAAAAAAGAGGAAAUUAGACUGUAAACUAUUCCUGAGGUGGAAGAAACACCAACAUGAAUUCUUGACAGAAAAAAAAAGUCCUUGUGCUGCUCCUCUGCCCCAUUUUGCAACUGUGCUAUCCUGGCAAAGACUUUUGGAUUAAAUCUACAGAUUACACUGGACCUGACUUCACUCAGAGACUGAAAUACGUGCCGCUCUCUUGAUGAGCAGAUACAUUACAUUCAAUCUAUCUAGCAGUUUUUGUCCUGCACAAGCCAAAUCUCCUUUCAACAUCAAUAUUAUUUAUUAGCUCAUGAGCUUUCCUCAUCACCAGGAGAUCUGAGAGCCUCUACAGACACUAGUGAGCCUAUUCUCAUACUGGGUGAGAGAGUGCUGGGGAAGUCAGAAGGAACCUGAAAUUUCAUGGAUGCCCAGUAACAGAUGUCUAGAACCUGUAUUCAAAGUAUGUCCAUACGAAAUGUUUAGUAAAGGUGAUUUACUCAGCAUCACUUAUCCCACUGUACAAAGAACACUGUCAUUUUAUGUGAUGAAAGUACUUAUUUACAAUGCUCUCCAGACAUACUCACAGUUCAUUAGAAGUCUAAUUGGAGGUAGGGGUCUUCUGUUUUAUCCCAUCUUUGGAAAGGCACUUGGAUAAAAAUGAGCUAAGAAAACAUGCAUGAGCUUUACAAAACAAAGUAACAAGGAACUGAUUUUAAUUACAUAUAGUACCCUUGAUUUUCUUAUUUAUGCAUCUCAAGCCACUACUCCUCCCCAUUAUUACAUUUCCAGGUCUCAAUGUUUUCAUUCAAAGUUUUGAGUGCUUCUGAAAACUCAGACCAGCCCCCACCUCCCCAGCUUUAGUGAUGCUGGGGAGCACAGACAUGUGGUGUGGUGCCACCUCAGCUGUGAAUAGUUAACACUGUUAUAGUUCAAAACUUCAGCCAGGAAUGCUACCUGUGAGGGCAGAGUGCCUUGGGACAGAAAGUCCUUGGCAGGAGCUAAACCGUAAUGAGCUUAAAAUGUACUGAGGAGUUCGGCAAAUACAAAGCCAGGUCACAGAAUAGGUAGCUGCAGAAAUUUUCCUAUGUGUAAUGUUUAUAAGACAAUUAUUUACAUUAUCUGGAUGGUUUUAAUUGCAGGACAGUUCAGACCAGUUUCUUUAAGUUUUCCCAAGGGGUAAUUAGUCACCCUGUGAAUUUGCAUAUUUUCCAUUGCUCUAUCGAAGCAAAUCAGCUAUACUUAUUGGAAGAUUGACCUGGCAACCUCUGUUCUUAGCAGAUUAUAGUCUGAGUUUCAUCAUGACGUCAGCUAGUAUAUUAGCAAAUGUUCUGGUCUGUACUUCUAGAGCAAGUAAACUUUGGGCUCUUCAUUUAAAAUGUGAGAAAUUUUGAGACAUGGUAAAAAGGGGUAUCUUAUUCAUAGGGGAAAGUAGCAAUGAACUACUGCCCUACAGAUGUUCACAUGUUCACUCUAUCAUCUCCUAAAACACAGUUUGCACAAGGGAAUAAGAUAGAGUGCUAGCCUGGAGCAAAAGUCACUUCUCCAUACCAGUUCUGCAGGAUUCUACAUACCAGGUUCAGCUGAUCCUGCUGGAAUUCCUUGCUGAGCCAAAUUUUGGCUCCUACAGACCAUCUGUGCACUGCAAAGACCCUGGCUCCUUGCCUGUCUGCUACAUUGCCUCCCAAAGUACUCACAAACCAUGCAGCAGUAAGUUCCAAAUUAGUUCAUAUACGUACCAAUAAAUUCAUCUGUACAAGUUAUGCCUUGUUUUUUAAAAUAUUAUCCAAACUAAAUUUAUAUCCAAGCAAUAAUACACAAGAAGUAGCUUGCAGAUCUUUGGGGUUAAAAUGGGAAUGAAUGACCUUGAGAAGACGUUCUUUGGAGGGAGAGAGGCAAUCCAGUAGUGGAACUUAAUCUGAAUCACAUUAAUUCAAUACUACAGGUGAACAACCUUUAGUGUAACAACAGCCUGACAACAAAAGCUAGAUAUUUACACCGAUGCUCUAAUUGUUAGUCUAUUUCUUUAGAUUUGCAUCAUGUACCCAGUUUUCAAACAGGAGAACAAUUGUUUACUGUAGGUGUCCUUUUAUGAAUCAUCAACAGUGAGUGAAGAUGUACUCUUACUGCAAUCAUUUAAUAAUUAAUUAGUAAUAGGGACAUACAUGUUUAAGUGUUUUGCAUGUCGUACCUUCUGUUCUUGUUUAACAGAGACAUUUCACAGCUUGUGAAUGCUGUGCAGAUAAUAUUUUCUUCUCUUUAAAAUAAAGGAAUAAGAUGACUAUUUCAAUGUGCCUAGUGAAAUAUGACCUUUUACUGAAAAUAUCAAGAGUGCACAGAGCUCUCAAGAGUUUCAGUUUUCUGCUACAGGCAGCAGAGUGACCAUGGCAGGGGAACAGAGUGAUUCUGUUGCAUGCCACAUCUCAGGUCAAUCAUUGGCAUUGGCAUGGUCAGCAAACUCAACUCUCUUGUCCUUUUCUCCUACUUUUCUUUGUACUCUUCUGGUAAAUUCAUUAUGUUUUAAUUCUAUUCAUACAGUAACAAUUGCAGUGGAUGUCCAGGUUUGCAAAAAUGCAUUAGAUACAUUAACAGCAAUCUAAGUAGUGACUAUUAGAUCCAAGAGUUUAGAUGUGUUGCAGAUUGUUAAUGGGAAGGUAAAAAAAAAAUAAGUAAUGGUUCAUAUUAGUCUGAGAAGUUGUUCUUUCCCUAUCAGAAAUCUUCUUCCAGCUCUGCCAUGAAUUAAACUAGUUCUAGUGGCAGUCGAUCUGCACGUGGUUGCAGAUUUUUUUUUCCUCUGGAUUUUUUCCUCUGUACUAUAUAGAACUCUACUUAAAACCCACUCUUCCACAGAAUGCUUGGUACUGCUUAGGAAUAUAGACAUAAUCAUAUUUAACAAACAAAGAAGAGCUGCAAAUCCUUAGUGAAGAUGCUUGUAUAUUGGCUAAGAUAAAUCUGCCUACUGCUAGGGAAGAGAAGAGGUUAUGGGUACGUUUCAACUGAUUAAUCCAUGCCAGCAAACACUUUGAAGUCUUGUGAAAGCUCAAAGAUAAAGAGCACAGAGUAUCUGUGAAAGCAGUUCCAGUGAAAGCAGUUCCACCUAACAUAAUUUAAAUAAUUAUUCUUCUCAUCUUAACGGUAACUGAAUUAAAAGUGGUAUAUCUUUUGCCCUUUAUUUAAACCAUGUAAAAAAUAGGAUAAUAAUAAAUCUAUGCUUAAUCCAACCAAGAUCAACAAAGAUUCUAA